AUUGAACGCUGGCGGCAGGCCUAACACAUGCAAGUCGAACGAGUGGCGGACGGGUGAGUAAUGUCUGGGAAACUGCCUGAUGGAGGGGGAUAACUACUGGAAACGGUAGCUAAUACCGCAUACCAUCAGAUGUGCCCAGAUUGCAUUAUCUUGUUGGUGGGGUAACGGCUCACCAAGGCGACGAUCCAUAGCUGGUCUGAGAGGAUGACCAGCCACACGGGGACUGAGACACGGUGCAGACUCCUACGGGAGGCAGCAGUGGGGAAUAUUGCACAAUGGGCGAAAGCCUGAUGCAGCCAUGCCGCGUGUAUGAAGAAGGCCUUCGGGUUGUAAAGUACUUUCAGCGGGGAGGCGGGAGACAAAGAAGAAGCACCGGCUAACUCCGUGCCAGCCGCCGCGGUAAGAG
rnacentral:rRNA from 1 species